rnacentral:lncRNA from 1 species
AUUACCAGCCUAUUUUUCAUUCAAUGACCAUCUCCUCAUUCCUCUCCUUGUAUAAUUGCCUGUCCUUAUCUUUCCCUCAGGAUCUCUGGUUUCUUUCAAGGCACCUCAAAGGCCAGUUUUUAUAGGACCUGUGGCCAAGUCCCCCAGCUACUAAUAUUUUCCUUUCUAAGGUUAUCUUCCAUUCACUCUGCAGAUAUUUUCCAUGUACCAUGCUUGUGUUGUCUCCCACAAGUUCCUUGAAAGGAGAAACUUCUGUAUUUUCUGGGAUCUUGGGUUGGUGACUUGCCUCUUGGAGGUUGCUUUUGACUGGGACUUUGGCUCUUGGACUGCUUCUUGGAGGACUGCUUCUGGAUCUUCUCCUUUGGACUUUAGUGUUGGAGGACUUUGCCUUGGGUGAGUGAGUAGCUGAAGAUACCACUGGAUAUGGAGAAAUGCCUGGUGAGUCUGAGCCUCACUUCACUAGAGAAGGACUAGUAGGCUUAUUAAAACCCAUCUCUUUAGCUACCUUUUUUCAUUUUUAUUCUUUCUACCUCUGUAAAUAAAGCUACUAAAGUAAUUUUUUUUUACUUAAGU